CUUCUGCUGGUGCUGGUCUUUAGUUAAGCAAGAGAAACAACUCUCCAGCAGAGGCUGCUUCACUAGUGAAAGCUCCAAAUGGAGGCCUGAGCUGAUAGUAAAUGAAGGCUAUAUGAAGUUUGGGACAUUCAUUCAGCUGCUCAGCGCUUUGUUCAUUGCUUCAUUUUUUUCCUAAGGGUAGUUAUAAAGUGUUCAGUGCAUGGAAGCUGUGCUCACCCAGUGCAGGGUGCAACUCUGCACACACAGAGUUAGGGCAGUGACUGCUGCUUUAUCUGCACAAUGAACUGCAGCAGCUCCAGAAGGGAGGGAUUAGAGAUCUCUGUGGAACACAUUUAUCUGGUGGUCUGGAACAUGGAUUGCAGUAAGGAAAUAAAUUUGUAGCACAUCAAGGCAUAGCCAUUUCAGUGCAUCAGACACAACACAGCUUCCUUCUUUAGACAGUGGUGUUGAGUAUGCAGGAAGGGAAAAUAUUUUCUCUGGGAGGCAGGGCAUGCAGCUGUCAGUGACUUCUCCUCGUGUGCUGAAAGCACAGAACAGAACUGCCCACAGCUGGGCCUGGCAGAGUGCUGUUGGUUUCAGUCUGGCCUUGGUGCUUACAGCGCAGUUACAGGACGCAAGCCAGACCCGUGUCUGCUUUAAACUCCUGGAGCAGGAGCUGUGGUUAUGGUGCAGCUCUUCCAUAGCAGUGCUGGGGGGCACCAGGCUUGGUGCUCCUACCCCUGGUAGCCCUGCCCUUCUGUGCCGCUGCAGUGCUGCUUCAGAUGCGCUUCUGCAGAGUCUGCUUUUAGUCUGCAUGCAGUCAACCCUUUGGAAGGGAGCAAAGCCAAGCUGGUAAGGGACACGUCAGUCCUCCAGGGAGUGAGUUUUGGAGUGCAGCAGUGAGCGGAGCCGCUCCCUUGUGGCUCAGGGCCUUUCAGCAUCGUGCCUUCUCUUUCCAUUUCAGGCCACAAUAAAUGGGAGACAGAGCAACUGCUCCCCAAGAAGGGACUGUUUGGCCCUUUCAUUUGCCCUUGAAAAGCACCAGGAACCCACCUGAUGCAGUGCUAUGAGCUGUGACAACAAAAAGUGAAGGCUGCAAAAGUGUGAGGGUUGCACAGCUGCUGCUUCCUCCCUGCGCUCGGUGUCUGCUCGGGAUGAACGCCGUAUGCUUAAAGCAGAGUUGAGAGUGCUCGAGCAUGCUGGAGAUGCCGGGAGGUUCUCCUCCUUUUCUGUUCUUAAAAAGCUUCUAUCUUUGCAUAAUUGCACCCUGGAGAUAAAAUCUCUUUCUAGAUGACAUGCAUUUUACACACAGAAAAAACACAUUUGUCUGCAAUGCUCUUGCUUGCAGAUUCUCCUUGGGCUGUGGGUUGGCUGCGGCUGGGACAGCACACUUGAAUGUUGCCGAUGGAGCUGUCCCUGUGCCACGGGAGUGGCUCUAGUUAAGCUUAGCUAUCUUAAAAAUAUACAUUCUUUCUUAUCUGUAAGUUUAAAUGGUCUCUCAGAAAGAAAAUGGGCCACCAGGAGUGGUGGGAAGGCCUCAUGCUGCGAGUUGUCCAUUAUUCAGAGUUCCAAGAGAGAUGGAUGUGACUGCAGGAUGAGGCUCUCACCUGGCACUGCUGGGCUCCAUCCCGGCCGACCUGGGGCACAAAGUGAGCCCGCAUUGCUGCAGCUGCACGGAGUGGGAGGGAGCACUGACAGAGCCAGCCCGGAGAGCUGCAGCUCACAGCACAGACACUUGUUGUGAAGCUCAGCCCCAGCAUGGCCGCAUCGCCCUAUAUGGAACGAAUGUGUUUUGGUAGUGUAUCUACUCUCGGAGAAGUAAAUAAUUGUAAGGAAACAGUGAAAGCAGCACACCUUUGUGCAGCUUCCACCGAACUGUAUGUGAACACAGCUAGCUUCCAGUCUCCUCAGUAAGCCCUCAGGGGUACUUGGGAUCAAAUCUACCGUUUUCCGUAUCGGGAGUAAUCCUUGCUUUUCGGACUUAUCAGCAGAUACCACUUCUGAUCCACUUUUCUCACCCUGGGAAAUGAUGAAUGUAUUGUCGUGGAGCAGAACCAAGCUUCCUCCUCCAGCCGGCACCAUCACAAGUUGCUGCGGAGUUGUAAUGCUUGAAAUGGCUGCAGAUAAUUCUUUUUCAUGCAGGAUGUCUUUAUGGAGGGAUGUGCCCAAGUGUGAAGCCAUGAUCUGGAGAAGUGGGAAAAGUUUGAGGUGACGCAUCUAUACUGAGUCUCAUCUGCUUUGUUGUUUUACAAAUACUUCUGUUGUUGUUUUGCUCACCAUUAUCGUCUGGAACAGAAUGGAAACAGCAUCCCACAGAAUGUGCAAUCUGAGGCACAGUGCACAUAGGUUGUGAUGAGAAGGUUGUUGUUACUUGAUAGCAAUCCUGAGUGCAAUGUUCGGUCCCUUUUGGAAGAAAAGCAUUAAGGUUUUUCUUUACUUACAAGCAAAGCAUCAGUUUGUCCAUUACUGACAUCUUGUGGAGUUUGUGCCAGAUGUAUAUUAAAUAUUUUGGUGCUUUUUCUAAUCCAAGUUGCCAUUCAUUCACCCGUGAGACUGUUGUACUUUUGUAUAUUAAAGCGUCGACACACCCGUUAAGAAAAAACAGAAAAAAAAACCCAAACCCUGAAACCCCAUCACC
rnacentral:lncRNA from 7 species